CAGCCGCCGCGGGAACACGGAGGGAGCUAGCGUUGUUCGGAAUUACUGGGCGUAAAGCGCGCGUAGGCGGUUACUCAAGUCAGAGGUGAAAGCCCGGGGCUCAACCCCGGAACUGCCUUUAAAACUAGGUGACUAGAAUCUUGGAGAGGUCAGAGGAAUUCCGAGUGUAGAGGUGAAAUUCGUAGAUAUUCGGAAGAACACCAGUGGCGAAGGCGACUGACUGGACAAGUAUUGACGCUGAGGUGCGAAAGCGUGGGGAGCAAACAGGAUUAGAUACCCGCGUAGUCCCUGUCUCUUAUAC
rnacentral:rRNA from 1 species